rnacentral:lncRNA from 1 species
UUCAAAUAUAAUAUUAAUUUCAAGACUCGUUCAUAUUUCACAACCAAACCAAAUAACUAUAUAACUAUAUAUGAUAUUGCUUCUCUGCACUCACAAAAAUGAAAAAAGUCCUUAUCCCAUUCCUCACUUUUUGAAAAACCAUCACUACACUCAUUAUUCAUUACCAUAUAUUUUAACCAUUCUUCUUUCUUCUUUUCUUCUUGUUCUUGUUUUCAUCACCAUGUAUUCAAUGAGCGAACAAGGUGUGGUUUUGGCAACCGCCAUGGCUGUCUCCGGCACCGUUCUCCUCCUUGCUCUGCGCCUUCAGAAGUCAUUCCCUGUUCAUGAAAAUCCUCCUUCUCAUUCUCCUUCUCCAAUUCUUCGAUCUUGUCUCGCUUCUGGUGAGAUUUCUAAAUACACAAACAUGAACACAAAAAUAUAUACACUCUUUGUCACUGUCGUAAUUGUGUGUUGUGUUGUUAUUAUAUAGAUGAAAGAAAGAGGGAGAAGAACAAGAAGAAGAAAAAGGUGCAGUUUGCAAAAGACGUGGUAGAUUCAUGUAAAGAUGGUGAAGAGUUCAGAAGACAUCACAGUAAUUUGAAGAUAAAAUCAGAAUCAAAGGUCCAAAAGAAUUGCAGUAACAAUGGAGGAACAGAAAAUAGAUCACUGCCUGCAAAUAGAGCAGCCUUGUAUAAUGGAAUUCUCAGAGAUCGUGUCACACAACGUUUGGCAUACUCUUUCUAAUUCCUUUGCUUUAAUUUUCUAUGAAUAUUCUGUGAUUAUGCAUCUUCCCCUUUUUCUUCUUUGUUUUUUUGUGUUUUCAACAUAUAUACAUAUAUAUAUAUAUAUAUAUAUAUGUAUUAGGUGAAAUAGAAAGAGAGGAAUGGAUAGUUGGGGCCACACAUGAUCAUAAGGGUUAAAUAGUUGCUAAAGAAAAAACUAUUUUGUUUUAGUUUUAGAUGAGGUCAUUUGUCAUAGGGUGUGUGGAUUGUUGUGAAGAGAAUUUGUUCAUAUUUUAGGAUACUUUUCUUCUGCAUCUCAACAAAUUUCAUGAUGUUCACCAAUUCCUGUUCAAUUUAGUGUUGUAUUGUUGUUUGUGACAUGUAAAUACAAAUAUUAAUGCAAUUCUUAAAUAUUUUACAUGUAAA